UGGCGGACGGGUGAGUAAUGUCUGGGAAACCGCCCGAUGGAGGGGGAUAACUACUGGAAACGGUAGCUAAUACCGCAUAACGUCUACGGACCAAAGUGGCGGACCUUCGGGCCUCACACCAUCGGAUGUGCCCAGAUGGGAUUAGCUGGUUGGUGGGGUAACGGCUCACCUAGGCGACGAUCCCUAGCUUGUCUGAGAGGAUGCCCAGCCACACUGGAACUGAGACACGGUCCAGACUCCUACGGGAGGCAGCAGUGGGGUAUAUUGCACAAUGGGCGCAAGCCUGAUGCAGCCAUGCCGCGUGUAUGAAGAAGGCCUUCGGGUUGUAAAGUACUUUCAGCGGGGAGGAAGGGUGAGAGGUUAAUAACCCUUUGCAUUGACGUUACCCGCAGAAGAAGCACCGGCUAACUCGGUGCCAGCAGCCGCGGUUAUACGGAGGGUGCAAGCGUUAAUCGGAAUUACUGGGCGUAAAGCGCACGCAGGCGGUCUGUCAAGUCGCAUGUGAAAUCCCCGGGCUUAACCUGGGAACUGCAUUCGAAACUGGCAGGCUAGAGUCUCGUAGAGGGGGGGUAGAAUUCCAGGUGUAGCGGUGAAAUGCGUAGAGAUCUGGAGGAAUACCGGAGGCGAAGGCGGCCCCCUGGACGAAGACUGACGCUCAGGUGCGUAAGCGUGGGGAGCAAACAGGAUUAGAUACCCUGGUAGUCCACGCCGUAAACGAUGUCGACUUGGAGGCUGUUCGCUUGAGGAGUGGCUUCCGGAGCUAACGCGUUAUGUCGACCGCCUGGGGGAGUAGGGCCGCAAGGUUAAAACUCAAAUGAAUUGACGGGGGCCCGCACAAGCGGUGGAAGCAUGUGGUUUAAUUCGAUGCAACGCGAAGAACCUUACCUGGCCUUGACAUCCACGGAAUUCUGCAGAGAAUGCGGAAG
rnacentral:rRNA from 1 species